rnacentral:rRNA from 1 species
UACCAGCACCCCGAGUUGUCGGUACGAUUAUUGGGCCUAAAGCAUCCGUAGCCUGUUCUGCAAGUCCUCCGUUAAAUCCACCUGCUUAACGGAUGGGCUGCGGAGGAUACCGCAGAGCUAGGAGGCGGGAGAGGCAAACGGUACUCAGUGGGUAGGGGUAAAAUCCAUUGAUCUACUGAAGACCACCAGUGGCGAAGGCGGUUUGCCAAAACGCGCUCGACGGUGAGGGAUGAAAGCUGGGGGAGCAAACCGG